UCAAUAGUACUAGUGCGUUAUAGCUGAUGAGAGAAGAUAUCGACCCAGGCACUUCCUGUGCAGACAAGUCGAGAGAGGGAGAGGAAGGUGGUGUUCACCUGGAAGACUUCAGCACAACCAACACAUGAGUAAGAAAGCGUGCGCAUGAGAGAGAACUGUGUGAGAUGUGGUACUGCUCUAGCUACAGUAUAACGGAGCUUGAUGCCCAGGAGACUUGACCAUUGAUUUCCUAAUGAGAGGAACUAGAAAAAGAAGAGGGAGGAGAGCACAAAGAGGACUCAUCAGCAGAGGAGUAGUCCUGGUCCUGGCCUGCGCCAUAGGCCUGCGGAGCUCCUUCCUGGAUGUACUCUUCAGUCUUGUC